ensembl:lncRNA
CUUCCACCAUUAAUCAUUGCCCGACCUUAAGCAAGCCCCUGGGUCUCUUUCUUCAUCUGCAAUGUGACAAGAUAACUCGUGUUGUAAAGAGAUUGAAGCGGAAAGGGAGUUUGGCUGUGAGAUCACUAUAGGAUCUUACCAUCACAUUCUGAUGGGUAGCCCUGAGCAAUGAGAAUUGACAACUCUGGUAUCAUCUCUGUGACAUCCUCGACCAACAACUUGAGAGCAAGGUGUCCUACAUCUAACUCUGGACUUUUUGAGAACUUGUAGCCAAUGGAAGGAGAAUUACCCACCUUGUAACGUUCGUUCUGAACACUUUCCAGGCCGUUCUGGCAUCCGAUGAAUGUGAUUCCUAUGCCCUCUUUCUCUAUCCUGCCAAUGGUCUUCAGUUUUUGGAACUCACCCCAAAGAAUCCUACAGUGUCCAGCUGCAGUUUCCUGCUAAGGUGGGAUUCUGCCAAGGGGAAGCAGAUGACGUGAAGAGAAAAGCCCUGUAUUUCAGCCUGACUAACAGUGAGCAGUCGGUGAAGAAUCUCUACCCGCUUUGAAGCUGUCCACUUCCAAACUCAAGAGGUUUCCCAGGGGCUGGAGAGAUGGCUCAGCGGUUAAGAGCACCUGACUACUCUUCCAGAGG